CUGUCAUCAGUGAUCAUCCCAGAACCCUUGCCUCCUCGCCUACCACCCUCAGUUACCCUGGGCACAUGGGGCAUAAGGAUUCUGGCCCCAAACCAGAGAGGGAACGCUUGUUGAGAUUUCUCAAGGAAAGAAUUUCCUUUUUUCCCUUUUAUCAAGGACCAAGGCCAAGAAAGCCUGGAGAAUUGGGUGCUAAAAAAUCACAGCACUUCACCUUCAUGACCCAAGAGAUGGUUUCGUGACCAAGGCCUGACAACCACGGCUGUCCACUGCACUGGCCACAAGAAGCAUCAGAGCAAUGGGCAGGACUAAAGCGAGAAAUAAACCAUAUCUAGGAUUCCAUGCAUGCAAUGAGAGGAAUUCGAUGAGAUAGCUGCCACUGUCUCUCUUCCUUCUCAGAAAUGGACCAAGACCCCCAGCUACCACCACACAGAGAUGAUAGUUGAACAGCUGAAGGUUAAGUGGUUUAUUUAAC